rnacentral:lncRNA from 1 species
AAAAGAGGCUCUCAGUACUCAAGGCCCCAGAGCUUAAGCAGGUUAAGGCAAGGGCAGACUGUUUCUUGACUUGGCUACAAAGUGGUUUCCCAGUGGAAGACAGGAGGUGGAGGAGCAGGACAAGAAAUCAGGACACUUAAGCCCAGGUCUUAAUUUGAUUAUUAGAAAAGGUCCUAGUUUAUAAUAAUGGAGUAACAGAAGCUGAUCAUUACACCACAGAACAAUCAGAGAUGGAUUGUUUUCACUGCUGGUCACAGAGGAUGUGGACAACUUUGACAUUCAUAGAACUUU